CAAAAGCAGCCCUCCACGAGCAACGCGAGCAGUGGGACCACAGAGCAGUCUAAACUUGAAAAAUCACAAAAGAAAUGUGAUAACUGUUCAGAUCUUUCAAUAUCUGGCUCCAGUAAACAAGAGCUUGAAGGGCCACCUAAGCCUGGAAAUGUAGCCAAGAAAGGUAUUGAUGAUCCAAACAGUCUGAACUCUUUGACAUCUCCCAUAAGGAAGCCUAUACUAAAAGGGCAGUCUAAAACUAGAGCAUUAGACGAGAAAGAUUUUGACCGUCCACAUACUCUGGUUCUUUCAUUAUCUGCAUUCAGUAAACAAGAGCUUGAAGGGCCACCUAAGCCUGGAAAUGUAGCCAAGAAAGGUUUUGA
rnacentral:sRNA from 1 species